rnacentral:tRNA from 1 species
GGAUGUAGCUCAGUGGUAGAGUACUUGCCUAACAUGUAUAGACCCUGGGUUCAAGCCCCAGUUCG